ensembl:lncRNA
UGGUCCGGUCAAAGGGGGGUUGCGCGACGUUCCGCGCCCGUGAAACCCCUCUCCACUGCGGUCAUGUGGACCGCAUUUCAAAAUGAAAUGUGCCUCGAUUUAAAAUGUUAUGGUAAAAGGGCGUAGAGCCUUAAAGACAUUAAUCGCCUAUUUGUAAAGUGUCAUAUCCCAAUCUUUGAGCUGUCUUUAAACCAGUGUUACCAUUUGGGGAUCUGGUUUAAAGACAGUUCAACGAUUGGGAUAUGACACUUUACAAAUGGUUCCAUCAAAGCCAUUCAGGUCCUACAGGAGGAAUGAAUGAGGUCCCGUAGUCGCUGUCCGUGGUGCUGAACUCGACCCGGUGGGACCCCCGCUGAGCCGCGUGUGUCGGGCUCGAAAUCUACGGAUCAUCUAGUGCUUUAAUCUACAGCGUGAACAUCGACCCCUCAUUGCCCAACAAAGUGACACCAGGAGCUUGAAUGCUGAAGCGUUUAUUGGAGCUCGUGUUGGCGGGUUAUAGAAACACAGAGCAGCUUUACAGAGAGAAGGAACACAUCAGCAGAUGAUGAUCAAACAAAGCCCCCCCCCCCCCCGUCUAAUUAUCAUUACCCAUUGCAAACUGUUCCUUUGCAGAGUAAUUGAGAAUCAUCUCCAACUUUGUGAAUGUUUCUCUGGUUCGGGUCGGCGGCUCGGGAAGCCCGCAUGUUCAGUGGAGCGGGAGCCACCGGAACCGCAACAUCUGGUGGCGCAUCGAAGAGAGCUCGCUCUUCACGCAGCGGCAGAUUGCCUGAGAGAGAGAACAGCGUCAUCAGAGCACGUGCUACAUGUAUGACGUGUGUCAUGUGUGUGAGGAACACCACGUUGCGUGUGUUUCAGGGUUCACUACUUCUUCACACUAGGGUUGUACUCACCGAGGUUCAGUGACGUCACGGCGUUGAUGAAGAGCACCGAGAGCAGGACAGCGGUUAGCACAGCUGGACGCAUGAUUCCGGAUUAAUGAAACUUCUACAAAUAAUAAACUACAAACAAGGCAAAUAUAAAAAAUAACACAAUGACAACAAGAAGAGUACCAACAUUUACCAACUAUGUACACUAUAAAUAGAAGUAAAUAUGAACGUGACCAAACUCUGGGGAUGUUGAAGCAACAUGGUGGUUCUGUGGGGAGUAAAGAACCACCAUGUUGUUUCAACACUUUAACAAACCCGUUAAGCUCCAAAGCCCUAAAAUAACAACAUCAACGU